GCUGGGCGUGGUGGCAGGCGCCUGUAAUCCCAGCUACUCGGGAGGCUGAGGCAGGAGUAUCAUUUGAACCCAGGAGGUGGAGGUUGCAGUGAGCCGAGAUCAUACCAUUGCACUCCAGCCUGGGCAACAAGAGCGAAAACUUCGUUUCAAAAAGAAAAGAAAAGAAACGUUCAUAUAACACUAUUUUUUGUUUUUUAAAGACGGAGUCUCACUCUGUCACCCAGGCUGGAGUGCAGUGGUGUGAUCUCUGCUACUGCAACCUCUGCCUCCUGGGCUCAAGCGAUUCUCCUGC
rnacentral:lncRNA from 10 species